AGUUUGAUCUGGCUCAGGACGAACGCUGGCGGCGGGCUUAACACAUGCAAGUCGAACGCACCGGGUAACCGGUGAGUGGCGCACGGGUGCGUAACGCGUAGGCAACCUGCCCUGGAGUGGGGAAUAACCCCGGGAAACCGGGACUAAUACCGCAUAUUGAUCUUUGGCCGCAUGGUUGGGGAUUGAAAGCCGAGAGGCGCUCUGGGAUGGGCCUGCGUUGGAUUAGCUUGUUGGUGGUGUAACGGACCACCAAGGCUGCGAUCCAUAGCUGGUCUGAGAGGAUGAUCAGCCACACUGGCACUGAGACACGGGCCAGACUCCUACGGGAGGCAGCAGUGAGGAAUCUUGCGCAAUGGAGGAAACUCUGACGCAGCCACGCCGCGUGCAGGAAGACACCCCUAUGGGGCGUAAACUGCUUUUCUGCGAGAAGAACGCGCUUUUUGGGAGCGUUUGACGGUAUCGCAGGAAUAAGGACCGGCUAACUCCGUGCCAGCAGCCGCGGUAAUACGGAGGGUCCAAGCGUUGUCCGGAUUUAUUGGGUGUAAAGGGUGUGCAGGCGGGGCAGUAAGUCAGUGGUGAAAGGCCGCGGCUCAACCGUGGAAUUGCCGUUGAUACUGUUGUCCUUGAGUGUCGGAGAGGCUACUAGAAUUCGUGGUGUAGCGGUGAAAUGCGUAGAUAUCACGAGGAAUACCAGAGGCGUAGGCGGGUAGCUGGACGACAACUGACGCUGAGGCACGAAAGCGUGGGGAGCGAACAGGAUUAGAUACCCUGGUAGUCCACGCCGUAAACGAUGGAUGCUCGAUGUCGGUCCCUUGUGGAUCGGUGUCCAAGCGAACGCGAUAAGCAUCCCACCUGGGGAGUACGCUCGCAAGAGUGAAACUCAAAGGAAUUGACGG
rnacentral:rRNA from 1 species